GACGAACGCUGGCGGCGUGCUUAACACAUGCAAGUCGAACGAGACGAUUUAGAAGCUUGCUUUUAUUGAGUCGAGUGGCAAACGGGUGAGUAACGCGUAGACAACCUGCCGCAAAGAUGGGGACAACAGCUGGAAACGGCUGCUAAUACCGAAUACGUUCUUUUGUCGCAUGGCAGAGGGGAAGAAAGGGAGGCUCUUCGGAGCUUUCGCUGAAGGAGGGCUUGCGUCUGAUUAGCUAGUUGGAGGGGUAACAGCCCACCAAGGCGACGAUCAGUAGCCGGUCUGAGAGGAUGAACGGCCACAUUGGGACUGAGACACGGCCCAGACUCCUACGGGAGGCAGCAGUGGGGAAUCUUCCGCAAAUGGACGAAAGUCUGACGGAGCAACGCCGCGUGAACGAUGACGG
rnacentral:rRNA from 1 species